UGCAAUUUGGUAAUCAGAUUGCUUUUUAUUUACCUAGUUGGAUUCAUGAUUGGUACUAUUUUCAUAAUCUGUAGUAUUUGUUUUGAUCUUUUUGGUUUUUUUGAGACGGUAUCUUUAUGUAGUUCUAGAUGGCUGUCCUUGAACUCAGAAAUAGAUAUUCUUAUUUCUGUCUCCUGAAUGCUGGAAUUAAAAGCUAAGCAUUGAGCUACCUGGUUCUAUGUUUCUUCUUUUCUUUUUCCUAACCCCAGUCCUUAUGCUUCAGCCUCGUGGGUAUUGAGGAUAACAGGCACUCAAGGAAACACCUGGCUCAUUGAUACAUUGUUGAGUGAGUUUUCUAUGAGUGAUAAAAAGUUGGAACAUUUUUUCUUAUAUGUAGAAUUCCAGCUGAUCUCUUGAGAGGCCAGACCUACUGCAUCUUGGGCCUCCAUCUU
rnacentral:lncRNA from 1 species